AAGAAACCAAGAUCAGCUACAUAGUUUGUGGGACUCGGGGCAAAAUGAAAAUGAAAAUUAUGAGGAAUGGUCAAGAUGAUCACAGCAGAGCACUACAUCAAACACAAUCACACAGGACUCAUGAAACAGGCCCUGGAGGAAACCAGGGGCCAGAGAAGGCUCCUCACCUGUCUCAUCCUUCCAUCUCAGAGGUAACCAGGGUCCUGAAUGUUGUGUCUCCCGAUUGCCAGUUUUCAGGUUUUUCAAGAAAAGCAGCCGUUCUGAAGCGGACCCAAGAGUGAGAAAAUUUUGGUCAGUUACCAAAGAUAAAGGUGGGAGAUAUUUGUUAUAUGUGAAAAGCACUGAUGCUAAUGAUGUGGUUGAGUUAAAUCGUAUUUGUGUCUCUAGGGCUGCCCUUGAUUUGCCAAAAUCUUACUGCCAUGGUAUUUCUAUAGAUCACACAAAAAUGUAUUUAUUCAACACAUUUAUUGAGUGCUUACUAUGCCCAGGCUGGGGUUCUAAGAGCUGGGUAUAUGGCAUGACUAAAAGAGAAAAAUCCCUGUUCUCAGCU